rnacentral:rRNA from 1 species
AGUGAACGCUGGCGGUAGGCCUAACACAUGCAAGUCGAACGGCAGCACAGUAAGAGCUUGCUCUUACGGGUGGCGAGUGGCGGACGGGUGAGGAAUACAUCGGAAUCUACUUUUUCGUGGGGGAUAACGUAGGGAAACUUACGCUAAUACCGCAUACGACCUACGGGUGAAAGCAGGGGAUCUUCGGACCUUGCGCGAUUGAAUGAGCCGAUGUCGGAUUAGCUAGUUGGCGGGGUAAAGGCCCACCAAGGCGACGAUCCGUAGCUGGUCUGAGAGGAUGAUCAGCCACACUGGAACUGAGACACGGUCCAGACUCCUACGGGAGGCAGCAGUGGGGAAUAUUGGACAAAGGGCGCAAGCCUGAUCCAGCCAUACCGCGUGGGUGAAGAAGGCCUUCGGGUUGUAAAGCCCUUUUGUUGGGAAAGAAAAGCAGCAGGUUAAGACCCCGCUGUUCUGACGGUACCCAAAGAAUAAGCACCGGCUAACUUCGUG